ensembl:lncRNA
CAGGGAUGUUUGCAGUGGAACCGGAACCAGUUGCUGAAGUAAAGGUAGAUCUAGAUGCAGAAGAGGAAGAGGAGGAGGAAGAGGAGGAAGAGGAGGAAGAGGAAGGAUAUUAUGAUGAUGAUGAGGAAGAAGAGGAAGAAGAAGAGGAGGAUGAAGAGGAUGAAGAUGAGGAUGAAGAAGAAGAAACUUAUGAUGAGGAAGAGGAAGAAGUUGAGGAGGAGGAAGAGGAGGGGGACGAUGUCGAGGAAGAGGAGGAGGAAGCAGCAGUUGAGGAGGAGGAGGAGGAGGAUGAUAAUGGUGAGGGGGAUGAUGAAGUCGAGGAGAUAGAGGCUGCUGAUGAUGAUGAUGAGGAGGAGGAAGAGCCCAAGGAGGAAGAUGCUUCUUCAGAGGAUGAGAAGGAUGAAGAGGAAGAAGAAGAGGUUGCUCCAGUGGAGGCGGCGGCUGGGGCUGAUAAUAUGAAAGAGGAAGAGGAAGCUCCAGAGGUGACUGGUGAUGAUGAUGAUGAUGAAGAGGAGGAAGAGGCUGCUCCAGGGGUGGCUACUGUUACUGAAGCUGAUGAUGAGGAAGAUGAUGGGGAGAAGGAAGAUUCUGCUGAGGUCGAAACUGAGGCUGAUGAUGAUUAUGAAGAAAUAAAAGAAGAAAAGCAAGGGGCUCCCCUUGUGGUUGAAGUUGACGACACAGAUGCAAAAGCUCCAGCUAGAGAUGAUGGUACUGAGGAUGACACAGAGACUGGAGCUGAACCGGAACCCAUUACCGACAAAGAAUCCAGGGAUGCUCCCGUUUCCACUGCCGAUGUUGACCAUGAUGACCAAGAGGAGGACAUUGAUGACACAGGAGCAAAUAUUGUUGUUGACAGUGAGGAUACAGGAGAGACGACUGGUGAUGUCACUGACAUUUCUGAUGACACGGUCGAUGAUGACGAUGAUGAGUCGAAGGAUGCCACUGAAAAAAAUGCUGAAGAAGAUGAUGACGAUGAGGAAAUCCCACGAAAAGUAAUUGCUAUUUCCACUCCAGAGGAAGAUGAUCUAUCCAAAGAUGAGGAUGAUGAUGAUGACAUUGAUGAACGUCUUUUGACAGGUAUUGAACAUUCAGCAAGGAACUGCCACAUAUCUCAUUGCAGGUGCAUACGUUUCAAAGAAUUAAGGAAAGGCAGAUCCCUACACUAUAAGGCAGAUCCAUACACUGAUCUAGCUAAUAUCACUGCAGUUGAUUGAACCAUUACGCAAACUUCUUGGCCUAAGUCAGCUGCUUCGGCGAGAAUGGAAGUUAAGUUUGUACUGUACCUUUUUGUGCGUUGUUGUCAUUGCACCACCCACAUCCAGUCAGUGUGUCAGAUGAGGUUGAGCAAAGAACCUUUAUUCUUUUCCUUACUUGACCUUCUUUUCAUUAGUUCCAAUCCAAAGUACAGCUUCUGAUCCAAAGUACUGAACGGAUGUGGGUGGACUGAUGUCUGUGAAAAGGGUCCAAUUAAAAAUUUUUGAGAAAAACCGACGGCCAUGAGGCCCACUCAAAAGGCUUAAAUAUUUAAGUGUUACUUGCAUGGGUGGAUUUCCCGUUCCUUUCAAGACUGGUACUUAAGCCAAGUCAUUCUGCUGUUGUGUCCUCAUCAUUCAUUACUCUUAUAAC